rnacentral:lncRNA from 1 species
GGUCCAGUUUGGCCAACCAGACGGAUUCCUGUAGGAGAUCCCGAAGGCAAUGUAUGCCUUCCAUUUGGAAGUGCUGGUACUGAAGGAAGGCAUUGAGGGGGCAGAGGUUGAUGACGGAACGCACACCACCUCCUUUCUUCGGGACCAAAAAGAGGUUGCUCGUAAACCCUGGCUGAGUGAACGGGACCUCUUGUAUCGCCCCCUUGGCGUAAAGUUCCACGAUCUCCGAGGAGAUCAAUUCUUCCUGAUCUCGAGCGAGAGACAGUUCCCUGGGGAUAGAAAGCUGA